GUCCGCGUGGCUCAGUGGGAAGAGCACCGCCAUCACACGGCGGAGGUCCCAGGUUCGAGACCUGGCGCGGACA
rnacentral:tRNA from 1 species